AUAACCAAAGUGCUCUGUGGUUUGUCUUUAAUGGAGAGGACGGUUGUAAAGUAACACUGAAGCUCUUUUAGUCUCUUUUUAAUUUAUGUGCUCAUUGCAUCACAUGGGCAUGAUUAUUUGUGAGCUUGACUAUUAUUUAUUUUGUUUCUAACUUGAAAGAGAGUUUUUGUUCAAUUUUUUUAUCAUAUAUUACUAUUUUAUUCAGGUGUGGAGAUCAUUAUUGUAUAUGUCCUUUUAUUUUCUCUGUCAUAAUUAGAUGGAGAACGGUGACCUUCACAUGCAUAUUCUCUGAUGUCAGGGACGAAGUUAGGAUUCAAUCUUAAGGGGGCCAAAAUAUAUUUAAAUAAAAAUUUUAAUAAUAAAUAAUAAACAAAAUUUUUUCUAAUUAAAAAUUUUUUAUUAAAAAAUUAUUAAUUAAAUAAAUAAUGUAAAAGUAUGAACUUUAUGUUUUUUAUUUUCAUAUGUUUAACUUCUAACUAUUUUUUUUAUAUUAUUACAUUAAAAUAACUUAGAAAUUUUACUAAAUCUAACAGUAAUUUCUUAGUUUUUUAGUAAAUAAAAUUAACAUAGCUAUAAAAUUUAGUGCAAUUAUUGAUUUAGUCAAAUAAAAGAGCUCACCUAAGAUAAAUAAAAAUUUUAAAAAAUUAUUAAAUGAAAUUUUUAGAGUAGAAAAAUAUAUCAUAAAAUACUCUAUAAGCAAGAAGCUUUUAAUAUAUUUUCAUCCAUAAAAAGAGUAUACCGAUCAGGAGAAAGAGAGAGAGAGUUAUAUUGGUACCAUAAUAUUAAGUAAAUAUUGAAAAGUUAGGGGGGUCAAAACUAUCCAUGUUCCAAAAAAAAAAAUUUGAAGGACCAUUAAACAAAUAUUGAAAAGUUGAGGAGGACCAUGGCCACCUUGGGCCUCCGUAUAGCUCCGUCACUGUCUAACGCAUCCUCUCUAGACCUUUUUAAUAUGUAAUCAAACUCAACAGCGGCAUGAAAAAUAACAAUUUUUUAGAACAUUACUUUUGGUACUUAACAAUGGUUAAAAGUAUUCUAAAAUAGUUUACCAUGCAUGCAUCAGUAAAAUAUAUUAUGAUAUUUUAAAGUAUUAAAAAAUUAAAAAUAAUAGUAUUCUUUAAUAAAUUGAUUUGAUAUAAUAGAUGGUUUAUAUUACGAUACUUUUUGAAGCGUCGGUAUUUACUAUAUAAUAGAGACGCAUAGAAAUUCUUUUCCUAAGCACCAAUUAAAAAAAUAAGGGAAAACUUCAAAAAACCCCUCCGUGGUUUCACACUUUUUCAUUUUAAUACCCUGUGGUUUAAUGUGUAUCAAGUUAGUACCCUGUGGUUUCUCACUUUAUCACUUUAGUACCCUGUGGUUUAAAGUGUAUCAAGUUAGUACCCUGUGGUUUUGCACUUUAUCACUUUAGUACCCUGUGGUUUCACACUUUAUCACUUUAGUACCCUAUAGUUUAAAAAACCACAAGGUACUAAUUUGAUACAAAAUCAAAACCACAAUGUACUAAAGUGAUAAAAUGCAAAACCACAGAGUACUAACUUGAUACACUUUAAACCAUAGGGUACUAAAGUGAUAAAGUGAGAAACCACAAGGUACUAACUUGAUACAUUUUAAACCACAGGGUACUAAAGUGAAAAAAAAUUGAAACCACAAGGGGGGUUUUUGAAGUUUUUCCAAAAAAUAAACAAUACAAGCACACAUGGUUCUCAGAUUUUCAAAUUACUACAAAUAUACUAAUUAAAUCACUUGAUUUAUUACUUGAUUUACUAAAACAUAUGCUAAGAUCACGUGAUUUCGCUUGAUUUGCUAAAAUUAAUCACAUAGUCUUUAGCAUCUAGAGUGAUCUACUGCUUGCUAUAUAUAUAUAUAUAUAUAUAUAUAUAUAUAUAUAUAUAUGUUCUAAAAUCUUUUACUUUAUAUAUUAUAAUUUGGUACAUUAAUGUACGUAGCAGAUCAUCAAAACACUAACUAAACAACCAUUAUUUGACUAGUGAAAGUUAAAGUAUAGCUUUACCAAAUAAAAAUAAGAUAAUGUAAAUUUCAAAAAGCAUGAGGUUGGCCUGUUAAUUUCCAUGUUCAAAGUUGAGCUCACAGAUGCUUUAAUGUAAGUGAUGCAAUGGAAAUUAAAUAUAUUUCAGUAGAAGCCAGAAACCCUAUGCAUUCUUGGAUAAUGGGUUGCGUGGAUUAUAAUCCUUUUUAAGUUGUAAACUUUAGUAUUUCUUAUAUCUAUUUUUGAUACAUAUAAAUUGGAAUAUAUAUAUAUAUAUAUAUAUAUAUAUAAUAUUGAAGGCUGACUGAUGCUUCUGGAAGCAUGAAACCUUCCGUGCUUUCAAGGUCGUUUCGAUGUGUUCGACUUUUCGAAUCGUCGAUUCGCUGUCCGUUAAAUUUGAUCCCAGAGUAUUAAGUACUUAGAAAAUAAAUUUAUGAUUUUCAAUAUUAUUCCUAUGACGAAGGGCUCAAAAUCAAUAAUUUUAAUAGGCCUGUAUGAGCCGUUUGCAAGUUUAACGGUGUAGAAAUAUCCAAAUCACGUGAAAUUUUGAUAAAAAGUUCUUUAUACUAUAUAAAAUAAGAUCAAUAUUUUUUAUCUAAAAUUUUAAUGUCAUAUUAUCACGUUUUGUAAGAUUUUUAUUUUCAGCCAUUGAUUUUGAGCCCCUUCGUUCAUUAGGCAAAUGAUAUCGAAAAAUUAUAAAAUUUAUUUUCUAGGUACUUUAAAUACUCUAGAUCAAGUUUAACGGAGCCGAUCAACGAUUCAAAAGUCGCAACAUCGAAAACAAUCUGGAAGCACGGAAGGCUCCGUACUUUCAGAAACAUAGUAGCCUCACUCGAUAUAUAUAUAUAGAACUAGGCUGGAAUACUAUCAAUAGUACAAAACUAUUGGUGCUAUAAGAUUUUCAGCCAUUGGAUGAAAAAAUAUACGAUUAAAAUGAUGUGGGCCUCUUAGAGUUGAAUGAGUUAUUGAUUUAAUAGUAUAAUAUAAUGGGUAAUAUAUAUUCUGUGUAGACCAAGUGUAGACGUCGGAAAAGUAUUGCACGUGAUAAAUGGCUCAGUACACACGGCUGACUUACAUGGAUAAAUCAGAGAGCGACACGUGAUGCACCAGGGGCCGAGAACAAAGCGCUUAGAUGCGAGCAAAAUUUGGGUGGAAACGGUUAAGAAAUAGAGAAGAAAUUUCAUAGUUAGCAAGCUACUCGCCUGAGUGCAUCCCUAAAAACAGGGGACGUGGUUGAAUUACCGUCUACGAUGCCAAAUAUCCAUUAACCCCAGAUAGAAAACAUAUCACUAAAAAUAAAAAAAAAUAAAAAAAAAAGGCACCUGUAAUAAGGAUCCUUCAUGCAAAUAAAAGACUACAGUAUUUUCAAACUCCUUUCAAUUCCAGCAAUUACUCUUUUGUAGAAAUAGCCUGGAGCAGUGGAGCCUUCUUUUACUAUUAUUUAAUAGCUUUUCAGGAGUAACCUGAAUUAACUAGCAAAUUAGUGUAAUCCUUAUAAGUACUUUCAACGAGUGAACACAAUCAGUUCGACGUGAAUACAAUCAGUUCGACUCUUUCAACUGAGUCUGUCUUUUUGGCUCAUUCUACGAGUAGAGAGUGAGAGAACCCGGUUGAACCGAUCCCUCAACCUGAUCGCUUAGUUUCGAAGCACACUCGAGGGUCUAUCUAGAACCGAUCCAACUAUCACUGGCAUGUUUGAUCUAGUCAAAGGUUUGACUCGAUCAACAGUUCAUGACUUUGAUUCGCAUGGCAACACCAAGUGUGCCAUGAUAUUAGUUAUUAAUUAUUUACUCUUCGAUUUGAUCUAUUUGUACUUUUAAGGACUCAUUUGAUACUGAGACUAUCUAAUGGCUAUAUGUUAUUCUUACACACUAUUGAGUGCUUUUUUUGUUUUUCAACAUGGAUGCUCAAGUCAUAUCUUAAUCGAUGUAAUGUAAUUUACAUUAGCAUGCUAUCAUUUAUAAAACGAAACGGCAUAUUUUCAUAUUGCCUUUUUUAACCUGAAUAACAUAUUUUUUCUGUAAUUUCAAAUAAAGUUUAAGAUAAAAUCCAAACUAAUCGGUGAUUAGGUCGCAGUCGAAUCACCGCUGUCAAUAGGAAUGCUGUAGAGUACACUUGAAAAUAAACAAUUUAAUUGAUAAUUUGCAGAAAAUAUUGUAAAUUUUUGUACACAUGAUCCUUCAUGUCCAUUGGAGCAAAUUAAUGUGUCCCCAGACAUAUAAACUUGAGUGUAAAAACCCCUCUCAAAUGGUCAACACAAAGAUGACUAAUGAUUUAAUUCAAAAAGGUUCAUACAUACUCAGGACUAUGUUCUCUGCACCCUGCACCCCUUUUUCAAAAGGAGAUUUAACAUUUGGGUUUAUAGUACUUAUCAACCAAGAUAGUUGAUCUCAUCAAUUGCAUUAUUGUUGCUUCAAAAAGAACAAGAAAGAGAGAUUGCUAGUGGGUUGAUGAGUUAGGUGGCUGAUUUUGAUGGCCACCAAUUCCUCCAUAAAACAAUUGGUAGAGAGAAAAUAAAAAAUUCCAUUCCUUAGUCUUUGCAUUAAAAAGUCUAAAAUAUGACAGUCAUUUGCCUGAUGUGUUAUCUCUAAUCAAUUACAUUUGGUUCGUGGAAUUCAUUGGCUCAAAAUAGCUGAUAUGAUGUAGCUGUGACAUAGUAGACUUCUGACUCAGCAUCACAAUAUGACAGUAAAAAAAGAGUCAAUCUAAAAAAUAUGAAAAAAAAAAAAUAAUGGAAUGUAUUAGAUCUCCUAGUUAAUUGAGCCUGAUGAAAAUUUGUCCUAUUUCAUGAACUCAGGGAAAUGCCUAAUUAGGUCUUCCAAAAUAUUAUUUUUAUUAACAUUUUGAUGCAUUAACAAAGACUUAUGAUAUCUAUUUAACUGCGAGUGUGAGUGAUUUUGUAAUUUCAGCACUGUCGACGAAAUUCAACCAAAUAAAAUAUAUACGGUUAUAACUAUUACAUUUUCAACUGCACAUACGGCCAACUACUCAUUCAGCCAAAAAAUCAACUAUAAAUUAAAAAUAUACUUUUUAAACUUUCAAAAGUUUUAGUUAAUUUUUAUUCUAGUGAUUUUUUAACAAAUUUUUAGGGGUUUUUUUAGUAUGGAAUAAAUUUUUAAAACUCAGUAAUAUGAUUUUGAAAGUUUUAAAUUAGAAUAUGAUAUACCCAUAUACUUGAGAAAUUUUUAAAAUUCUGUAAUUUCAUUUGAACUAGACUUAAUAUUUUUUUUUUCAAUAUAAAUUAGGACAAAGCUUAUAUAGGAAAAAAAAAUUUAUUUCAUUUAAUACAAAUUUUAUUUUAAACCUGCGGCUCUUUUUUUUUUCCUCUUCCUCUUAUUCUUUCUCAAUGGUAUUUGUAUUUUUUUUCUUUGAAAAGAAACAACAUUUCAUAAUUGCAGUCGACCAAACAGAAUCCAUCGGACUCCAACAUAAGUCAAAUAAGAUCUAGUAAGACGACUUAAUCCAUCAAAACGAAAUUAAGGAUCCAGGAGUUCAUGAAAAAAGUCUAAAUCAAUAAUUAGGCGGGAGGUUGCAUUCAAAUAAAGCAUUCAUGUAUCUAUCAUUUUGUCACUCAUCUCCCUUUCCCCUUUCACUUUCAUAGAAGACAUUUUGUAGAACUCUUGCUUUGAGAGGGUUCUACAAUGUGGUUUGAUCCACACGGCAAUAGUACUAAUUUGAUUUAGUCAAAUAUUUGGUUGAAAAAUAAGUCAGGAAUUAAUAAUGGUAAAAAUUCUCAGUAUUCUUUCGUACUUGAAUAGUACAGGUUCUUAAAUAUUACUUUCGCAUUCUGUGUUACAAAUUCUUUGUUAGAAUAUUAUUCCAGUGUCAAAAACUUAAACCGAUUUAUAUUCUUUUGACCAGAAGUUUGAUUUAUAUCCAAUAUAAAACUAAUAUUUUCGAUUAUUUGGAUACCAUGUAACUUGCUUUUAAAAGACUAUAUAUUCCACGCCACUCGUUCUAUAGCCAUUUACAUAUAUAGUUCAUUAAUUUUUCAUUAAAUAGAAAUAUAGUCGUUGUUGAAUAUAAAGAUAAAAAUAUUAUUCUCUAACUGGUCACGUUUUUUUUGAAGAAAUCGAUCUUUUAUAUUAUUUAGAAUUAUGCGAUCAGGUUUCAUUACUUUGCACCAUUUAUAGAAAAGAAUUAAUAAGCUUUUGGAAGGGGAAGCUUUUAUUGUUCAGCAGGAGGUUUAAUAAGUGCAGCAAUUUCGUCAAUCCCUCUCUUACCUUAUGUUUUAGUUUUUAUUAUCUUCUUCUAUAAUAAAACCUGUUAAUAGCACCCAUAAAACUUUCUUAUAGACGGGAAAACGAAAUGUUUGUUUCACGUUUCAUUUCUAAAAAAAAUGAACGAAAAUUCUAUCAUUCUCUCUCAAAAAAAAAAAAAGAAAAAGAAAAAAAAAAGACAUAACUAGAAAAACUAUUGGGGUACCUUGUCUAAUACGUGAAAGCAACCUCACAAUUUCACAAACGACCCAGACUAAUUUGAGCUACGGAUCUUACUCUGGAAACAGAAAUACCCACAUUACUAGCAGGUCGGAUUUCAGCAUUGAAUAGAUCGGUGGAUAGUAAACCAACGGCAAUGGACUUCAAAUAAGGCGCUCGCUAUUAAAUAGGGAUGUAAAGUGGGUGUGUCGGGCCGGCACGACCCACAUUAUCCGAACCAAAACCGGCCGGAGGCCGGUACGGCCCGACCCAGCCAGGCUCAAAAUUUGGACCCGGCCAUACCGGGCUGGAUCUCCCAGGCCCCUGGCCCAGCACAGCCCUCCGGCCCAGAAGGCACUCCACAUGCCAGGACGGGCCACGCUCCAGGCCCGUUAUUUAAAUUUUUUAAUUAUAUAAUUUUUUAAAAAAUUUUAAAAAAAUUUAAAAAUAUGAAAAGAUCGAAAUGCUUCUCUUAAAACUACUUUGAUUAGCUAUAUAAUAAAAUAAAUUAAAUUUUUAAAAGAAUUUAGUAAAACUUUAAAAUUUAAACCAAGUUUGGUCUUACUUACAAUGUGUUUUGGAGCCCCGGGCUAUGCCGGGCAGCAGGCUGUUCGCGUAAGAGGAGAGGCUCAGCACAGCCUGAAAUACCGGCGGCCUGAGCCGGGCUUGGCCGGCACGGAUGCUACAGCACUCCUGCCGUGCUACAAGGAUAGGCGGCCUACGUUGCGGCCCCGCCCCGCCCGUUUUAUAUCCCUACUGUUAAAUCACUGUACUCAUUCCCUUCUGAUGGUGGGAUAGUGGUUAUAUAUAUAGAAUUCAAAAGUUCCCACACCAACACUCAUUUUUAUGUAGCUCGCCUCUAAUGUGAAGAUUUUUACAAUUGAAAAUUUAAUUAAACAAGGCUGGCCCUAACCUCCUCAUUGUCCACUAUGCACCUUAGAACCAGAGACGAUGAUCUUCUUUUUCUAAUCUAGUUUAUUCACAUCGCAAAGAGUUUGAUGGUUGGUACCUGAAGUCCCAAGUUCGAAUCUAGUUUAUUCACAUUUCAAACUACAAACACACCCGUGUAUAUAUGCAUAUAAAACACAUUUUCAUUAGAUAACUUUUUUCUUUUUCUUUUUAUACAUGAGACAUUGUAACCAACAGAAUACAACUUGUUUUAUAGCGGCGGAAAACGAUGUGAGAACAAGAUACAAGUCUAAUGUCUUGAUAAACUUUUAACACAAACAUUUAGUGUCUCAACAGAUCAACCAAACAAGAUUAGUAAAGUCGAGCGUCAUGAUUAACCUAAACUAUAGUUAACUAGAGAUGCAUUCAAAAGUCUUCAGUAUAGUUCCUACUCCGCCUUCGCAUCGGCAUCCGGAGCUCUUCCGCUCUCUAACCUGUUCAAGACUCGCAAGACUGAGAAAACGAACGAAUAAGAAUGUUCUCGACAGGCAGAAGAAGACAACAAUACAAGACUCACCGUUGCAAAUGCUGAACGAAAAUAUGGCCUUGUGGAUCAUUAGCUAUCAUGUUUAUAUUUACGAGCUUUUCUCCUCUCCCCAUGCAGCUUUGCAAAUGAUCGAUGUCCGCUGGUGAAGAUGCUUGCGCAGCAAAGUGACGAGAGGUAGCAGCAACUCUUUUGGGCUUCAUCUCAUCUUCUUUCGCAAUUAUAAUAAGAUCAGGAAUGCGAUAUAAAACUAAACCAUGUAAAACAAGAAAACAAUCUACCUUGAAGGCUCGCUGCGACUCGCCCAGAAGCUAAUUGAUGCUUCGGCAAUAUGUCCUCUGUGAAGAGCGCCUUCAAAAAGCACAACCAAGUAGGAAAAUAUCAAAUUUCAAAAAUUACAAAUUGUUGGCAAUGUCUCCUAGUUGUAUCCAUGCUGGUUGCACCCAAUUAUCAUGAAUAAAUUUGAAUAGUCGGAACAAGUGAGUGUAAAACAACAAUUUGUCUCCAAAAACUUUGGGCUGCUGGAGAGUGCUGCUUUAGUAGAGUAUACUUAUAAUCAACACUCCUCAUAUCUGGCACUCGAGAUGUUUUGAAAGACCCAAUAUAUGGACUUGAAUUAUAUUGCAGAAUUUGAAGGACAGGAAGCCGAAAAGAUUUGAACUCAGGACCUGCUAUAAUAUCACAUGAAACAACUGCUUGCCUCUAAAAGCUUACACUGCUUGAGAAUGUCGCUUUACAUAUUUUAUUUUACGUUUGAAAAUGAGUCAUUACAAAAGAUUACCUCAGCAGUAACAGAAGGCAACUGGAAUGGUCCAAUUUGGGAUUGUGACGACUCGAUUUGGAAUGAGCAUUCCGGAAUGGUUAUACUCGUCGCACUGGUUAAGAGAGCAGGUUGAUUGGAGGGUGCACAGUGAUUCAAUUGAUCGAGAGAAUGGUGAGCAGCUGAAUCCUGGUUCAAGGAAAGUAUGCCCAUUCCUAUGCUCAUUCCUGUGCUAUUGUCAGCGACAAGGCCCAUACACAUCUCAGAAGCUUGCAGAGGUGGUAGAACUCCGGAUAAGUACAUUGGGUGCAGAUGUAAACUGUUUCUCAUUGUCAACAUCUGCGAAGGAGAUCAAUUAUUUGAGUACAAUCAUUAAUUUUUUAUUUAGAAUAGAGCUUAAUAUGAGAGGAAAUAGCAGAGGGACAUGAGUUAAAUAUUACAACAUCAAAAACUUGGUUAGACAAAAAAGUUAAAUGUUUAACAUCUUCUGUUUACAGGAGAAAACACACGAUGCUGGAAAAACACGCAAUUCUUCUACCUUCUUAUGUAACACUGCAUACUAAUGUGACUAAAAUAUUCUUUAAUGAAGACCCUCACGAUUAAUUAGGGUUUGACUUCUUGUUCCCUGCGAGUAGAUUUCCAUCUAAAUGCAGCUACUUGCUCCAGUUCACUGCUAAUCAUAGUCGAGAGAACUUACAUAUACAUGGGGUUAGGGGAAAGCACCAAACUCCCAUUCUGAUGGGAAAGGGGAAAGGGAAUGUAAAGGAAACAAUCAAAUCAUGGCAAGCAUUUCGAAGGAUCAAUUAGAAGCAUGGCUAGAAUCAAAAUAGCAGCUAAGCGAUUCCUAGAAUUGUUGUUGAUCGAUUUCUUGAAGUCAGGAUUUCAGGAUUUCAUACAAAGUGCUAACUAAAGAUCAGUGUGGAGAAGUCGGAGUUUCAGGUGUUUCAGACAAGCGGAUGUCACGCAUCUGUAAUCAUAUUUCUUUUUUUGUUUAGUAAAACCUUUGACUAUUUUUUCUUUUUCUUUUUUUUUUCUGAGUAAAACCUCAAACUAUAAUUUUCUCGAGCCAGAACUCUCGAGGUAGAUAAAUUUCUAUAGGACAACAAAGAUCUCACGGAGUAUAUAUUGAGAAGGCAAGAUAUGGGUCUGUUUAGUCAAUUUGCGAAUCAAAAUCAUGCACAAGAGUUAACAACUGAGAUGGCUGUGUAUGUGUUCGCUAGAAUCAUGUGAAAAGGGGGGGGGGGGGGNNNNNNNNNGGGGGAGGGGGGGGUGGUGGAACCCUAAAAAUGCACUCCCCAGCUAUAGCACGAAAGGCGCCCCCAAACCUGUUUAUGAAAUGUCAAGGAAUGAAGCACCAUGAUAGUCCAUAAGCUAUUACAAGUGAAUGUCAGAAGAUAGCAAGGCCAUGUUAACAGUAACAACAGACAUACCACUGUUGAUCAUUAACAACAAUUUUGCCACAUUGAGCUUGUACAUAUGGUCAGUCUUGCAGGUAUGAUAUAGACGGGCCAAUCUUUUAAUAAUUUGUCACAGCCAAGACGAUUUGUUGCAUUGCUGACUAUUAUUGAUCUUAUUACUCUGUCUGUACAUUAGUUGUAAGCUAUUAAGACAGAAGCUUUUAGCGUUUUAAGGGUUCAUUAGCAUAGAAGUUGUCACAAAUAUAGUAGUUCAUUAAUGAACUCAUGUAAGACGAAUUUGAGUAUCUCGAUAAGAGGCGGAUUUUGGAACUGUGAAACUGCUAAGACCCAAAGGUCGUUUGAUGCAAGUCAAGAUUCAAAAGAAAAAUAGUUAAGAUGUUCACAAACUUCUAUGAGCAGUUGGUAGCAAAGUUUGUAGUAAAAAAGAUGUAAGCCUAUACGAUAUUUUCAACAAUAGUGUAGCAUAUUUCCAUCUCUAUGCUAAUUUCUACAUUGAUUAGUAGGCGUAAUGUGAGCUUGAAGAGUAAAUUUAUAAAUAUUCCCAAGAGAAGCAUAAAUUCAAGGGAAACAAGGUCAUAUUUUGCCUACUAUUACAUCUUUCACAGUGUGCCGCAACAACCAAGUUAACAGAUUUAAAUGAUUCUAUCCUGUAGCUUAACGUAACAUUAAGCUAUGACCAAGAAAAGAAGGACGAGCAUACAGAUUAGUAAUGUUCCUUCUGUCAAUGUAGUAAGAGGAAAGAAUACUUACACCUUACUACAGCACCCUACAUAUUAGUGGCAGGGGAACUGUCUGAUGCUGUACUUCUAGAUGUUACCAUAUGAUAUCUUCAGCCAUUUUGAUGAUUUCUUCAUAUAUACUACUCUAAGCACAUGCUUAAAUGGAAGUUAUGGUAAAAUAUGGAACUUUCAGGUAACUUGUUACGGACGUGAUUAAAGAUUCUUACUUCAACUGGAAUACACAAUUGUCCGUCUUAGAAAACUAUUAUUUCUCAAUUAUAUUUCCCAUCAUCUUUCAUUCCAGCAUAACAGUCAGGUAGAUAGGACUAGCUGAACACAAGCAUUGACUCGUAGCUGCAAAACCAUAUAGCAUUCCUGGCUUUGCAUCUUCCUUGAAAAUAUUUUCUUGAUAGGUUUACAAUAGCUUUGCUUCUUCCCUCUAUUUGACUAUUUCAUAGAUCGUAUUCUUACCAGAAAUUUGUACGGCUUAUCAGAGAGAUAUUAACAGCUAGACCUUGCCUAAUUUCACAUGAGAGUGCCCGUAAAAGCUCUUUAUAUGUAAGAGAGGUAAAGCUAAAUACAAUGAAUAGGUUUCCUUCUAAAGAAACCUCACGAAAGGACAUUCUAAUCAAAGGCUGUUCAGUUCAAGAUUUGUAAUUUUCUGGUGAAAUGUUGUGCAUUUUUAUAUUAGGAAUGACAAGUAUGUUACUAAAUUAUUGUAACGCUCCAAUAGUCCCACAUCGGAUGGGAUACUAAUUCUGAUCGGUUUAUAUGAGGUCUUGCAUGCUAGUAAUAAUAAUUAGGCUUAAGUAUUUUGGAUCGAUGGUUUGGCUCAACGAGUUAUUAUUGCUGACGGGUCGGGUCGUUACAAGUGGUAUUAGAGUCGAAUACCAGUAGGAAGUGUGAGAACUAAGUGCUAUGCGAGACAAAGUGCUACACCAACGAAUUUAGUGGGAGCCACCUCUUGAACCCAUAGGAACGACCUCUAGAAUCUCACAUCGUCUGGUAAUUCUGGUCCUGAUCUGUCUGUCUGUAAGGUAAUUCUGGUCCUGAUCUGUCUGUCUGUAAUAUGGUUUGGACCCGACGAGGACGUCAGGGUCUAAACAGGGGGAGUUUGUAACACCUCAAUAGUCCCGCAUUUGAUGGGAUACAGAUUCCGAUCAGUUUAUAUGAGGCCUACACGCUAGUAAUAAUAACUGGGCUUAAGCAUUUUAGACCGGUUGUUUGGACCCAACGAGUUAUUGUUGCUAGGGGGUCAGGUCGUUGUAAUAUUAUCAAAUAUAAAAUUAACAGUUCAAACGACAAAAAUUAGAUCAAAGCAAAUCAGAUUUUGAUAGUUUUAAUUCCAAUUAUCAAGAGAUAAAUAUUCAAAAAUAAUCAUAUAACUAUGCAUAAGAAGGCUAGAUGUGUCGACCGCGAACCAAGAAUGCCGAUAGAGAUCAAGGAACACAGCUACAGUGACAACGGCCACGGAUGACGGCAACAAUGAUGGUGAUGAAUGGCGUCGCGCGCGCAUACGGGAGAGGACGGAAGGCCGUACGAACGUGAGAGGAAUAGAGUUGGCGAGAGAGAGAAAGGAGGAAAAUGAGAGGUGGGUGGGUUAGAAUGCUACCACUAAUGGGAAUCAAAAUAGAAUUAGGUAUUAAGGAUUAAUUAGACACAAUAUACUGUCGAGUCCCUCAACGAUUAAAGUUUACGUAAAGGUCCACAAUUUAUAAAAAAAUAGAACAAAACAAAAGAGAUAAAGUGCAGAGGUGCCACGUUAUGGAGCCGGAACCUUUGCAGCUUAGAGAAGAUCUAUCUUAUGAUGAACAGUCGGUACGUAUUAUAUGUUGGCUUAAAUAGGCCAACAUCCUGCCCUGUGGCGAGAGGCCAUGUUGGGCCAAGUCAUAUUCGAAAUUGCGUGAGGCUAGGUUGGCCAAGUCAUGUUUGAAGUGGCAUAAGGCUGGGUGGGCCGAGUCACAAUUGAGACCCGUGGGCGCUGUAUCUGUAUGCUUUAAGUGAAUUGGUUGCGUAUUUCUAACAGCUCGAGCUUUUGGAAUUAAUGGUUAGCGCCAACGAUCCGACAAGUGGUAUCAGAGCCAGAGGUCACAGGUUCGAUUCCCAUAUGCUGCAAAUAUGUGCAGAUGCUGAAGGAGGAAUUGUUGGCUUAAAUAGGCCAGCAUCCUACCCUGUGGCGGGAUGUCAUGUUGGGCCGAGUCAUGUUUGAAGUGACGUGAGGCUAGGUAGGCCGAGUCACAAUUGAGACCCCUGGGCACUGUAUCUGUAUGCUUUAAGUGAAUUGGUUGCGUAUUUUUAACAGCUUGAGCUUUUGGGAUUAAUGGUUAGCGCCAACAAUCCGACAUUGUGGACCGAAAGGAGCAAGUUUUGAGAAGACGAACCAUUCCGUAUGUUAAAGUCCAGUGGAGCAACCAUUCUUAACAACAAGUUACUUACGAGCUCGAGGAGCAGAUAUAGGCGAAGUACCCUCAGCUUUUCGAGAACUAAGGUAUGUUAAGUUUAGAGGACUAAACUUCUUUCUAAAAGAGGAAGAUGCAACACCCCUACACUUUAUUCCUUUUGUUUUGUUCUAUUUUCUUAUAAAUUGUGGACCUUUUCGUAAACUCUAAUCGUUGAGGGACUCGGGAGCAUAUUGUGUCUAAUUAAUCCUUAAUCCUUAAUUUUGUUUUGAUUCCCAUUCGUAGCAGCACCCUAACCCACCUACCUCAUUUUCCCUCUUUCUCUCUCUCAUCGACUCUAUUCCCCUCAUGUUCGUACGGCCUUCUGUCCUCUCCCGCAUGCCCGCGCGACACCAUUCAUCACCAUCAUUGUUGCCGCCAUCCGUGGCCGUUGUCGCCUCAGCCGUGUUCCUUGAUCUCUAUCGGCAUUCUUGGUUCGCGGUCAAUGGCAUCUCGUCGUCGACAUUAUCGUCUUUGAGAAGGUUCCUUUCUUUCAAUUUUUUUUAUCCCUAUUAUAAUCUCGAGAAUAUCUAACUUUCUUAUCCAUGAUUAUAUGAUUAUUUUUUAAUAUUUAUCUCUUGAUAAAUGGAAUUAAAACUAUCAAAAUCUGAUUUGCUUUUGUUCUAAUCUUUGUCGUUUGAACUGUUAAUUUUAUAUCUUGUAUAUUGUAACGACCCGACCCGCCAGCAAUAAUAACUCGUUGGGCCAACCCACCGGCCCAAAAUACUUAAGCCCAGUUAUUAUUACUAGCAUGCAAGGCCUCAUAUAAACUGAUCAAAAUUAGUAUCCCAUCCGAUGUGGGACUACUGGGGCGUUACAAAUUCCCCCUGUUAAGACCCUGACGUCCUCGUUGGGUCCAAACCAGAUCACAGACAAACAGACCAGGACCAGAAUUAUCAAGCAAUGUGAGAUUCUAGAGGUGGCUCCUACGGGUUCAAGAGGUGGCUCCCACCAAAUCCGUUGGUGUAGCACUUUGUCCCGCAUAGCACUUAACUCUCACAUUUUCGGUUCGUAUUCGGCUCUGAUACCAAUUACAACGAUCCGACCUGCUAGCAACAAUAACUCAUUGGGCCCAAACAACCGGCCCAAAAUGCUUAAGCCCAGUUAUUAUAACUAGCGUGUAGGCCUCAUAUAAACUGAUCGAAAUCAGUAUCCCAUCCGAUGUAGGACUAUUGGGGCAUUACAAUUAUUAAGCCACUUAGGUGAGAGGUUAAGAACUAGUAUAUUCUUAUUAAUGGACAAAUAAUAAUUCCCAUAACGAGAAUACCUCCUAACACAUGGUAAUCUAGUAUUCCUACCCUCUGUUAGUUAAUUCGCGUUUAAUUCGCGAAUUAUUCGUGAAUUUUUUAAUAACCGAAUUAAACGCCCGUAUCAGUAUUUUUCAGAAAAAUUCGAAAAAAAUCACGUUUUUUUUAUCAAAAAUAAUUAUCCGCGAAUUAUUCGCAAUUCGCGAACGAUUCGCCUCAAAAAAAGGGCGGUGGCUGGACUCGCGGGUAGCGCCGUUGCCGCUCUCGUCGCCAACUCGUCCGUGUCGUCUUCGUCGUCCUCCUCUGCCGCUCUCGUCGCCGAACUCGCGAGUGUUUGAAUCUAUAUAAAAUCCUUCCGAAAAAGAAAUUUUGGUUGAAAAAUUCUUUUCCCCAUGUUUGGUCGUUCGAAAAAGGUUUUUGGGAGAACAAAAGGGAGUUCGGCAGAGGAAGACGAAGAGAAAAAGCACUUAGGGCCAGUCACGCACGGUCCACGAGGUCACUGUCUCGUGGACCGUUCCUUUUCAGCAUUUAGGAGUAUAGUUGCGCGCGGUCCACGAGGCGGCCUCGUGGACCGCUCCCUCACAUUAUACAUAUAUAUAUACAUAUAUAUAUACAUAUAUAUAUAUAUAUAAUAUAUAUAUUUUAUUUAUAAAUAUAUAUUUAUUUAUUAUAUAUAGUAUAUUAUUUUUAUAUAGAAAUUUAUUAAAAAUAUUUUAUUUAUAAGUAUAAUAUAGUUUGUUAUUUUUUUAAUAAUUAGUUUAAUUUUGUAUUUCUUAUUCUUAUAUUCUUAAUAAAUAUUUAGUAUUAUAAUAAUAGUAUAAAUUUGAAAGAAAAAUUUAAUUUUAUAGCCGAAUUUUUAAUUCCGAAUUUUUGAUUGGUGAACAUAUAAUAUCCGUAUAAAUCACGUAUCCGAAUAAUUAACGAAUCCUUUUUUUAGCCAUAUUUUUUAACGAAUUUAAACAUUAGAAGACGAAUUUUAACCGAAUUAUACCCGUACCGAAUUUUUGCCGAAUUCGAAUUAACUAACUAUGUUCCUACCAUCAGAAAUUAACAAUAAUUUCACUACUUCUAUAACACCUUUUACAACUAUCCAACUUGAAUUGAAUGGUAAUGAUUUGAAUAUUUUCAAUAAAGAAUACGAAGGAUUACUGGAAUAUUACAAACUGUGAACUAAACAGGCCCUCAAUGUAAAGGUCUAAUCAAAGGUAAUCAAUUCUUUCCAUCAUGAUUUGAAUCCUCCUUGGCAAUUGAGUAAAGACCCUCCGUAUGAAAAGCACUUGAAUCUUUCGAUGUACUACUUUCUAUGCUCCCCCUCAAACCUGGCUAGGGGCACGUCCACAGCCCAAGUUUGAGUUGUAAUUCUUGGAACAAAUCACACAACAAUGGUUUUGUAAAUAUGUUGGCCAACUGUUGCCUAGACGAAAUCCAUAGGGUAAAAAAUAAACCACGUAAAAGCUUCUCAAGAACAAAACUACAAUCAAUCUCGAUAUGCUGGGAGAAGGCGUUAAAACCUAUGUUGGUCAUCAUACAAUGGACAGUAAUGUCAUCACAGAAAAAAAAAAAUCGAUGAUUGUGAUUGAAUACCAAGAUCACAAAGAGUGAAUAGAGAAUUCAACAGACAAUAAAAUUGGGAUCCCUACUAUGUUCCUUAAUAGGCCCCAAAUGAAUUUCAAAAAAGUGAAAGAAGAGGAAGGGUGCACCAUAAAUUCCAAAAAAGUGAAACAAGAGGGAUAAUUCGGACAUCUACUAUGUUCCGUAACCGGCCCGAGAUGAAUUUCAGCUGUUGAAGCAGCCUGUUUUUGCACUGGUUUUUCAGGCAAACCAGUGACUUGAGUUUCACUCCCAAAAUAGGUUAAUAGAAACUGCCAAAAGAAUCCUAUCUGGAGAGUUGAUUAGUAUGCAGCAGCCUUGAACAGAUAGUUCCUCACAUAAAAAAUAAAAAUAAAAUAAAAAUAGAAAACAGAGGAGUUUCAUAACUGUGUAAUAUUUUCUUGGGUAUUACACAGUAAGAGCAGAAAAUCUAUACAUAAUUCCAUUUUCUAAUGGCAUGGGAAUUGCAUUGCAUGCUUUAUUACACAUUUCAACUGAAAAAGACUACCAGUAAAGACGAAGACAAGUCACAGAAGUUGCAUUGUACAGCUUGGUAUGGUCCAGGCUACCAAGUUUUCGUAGGAAAAAUCCCCAUUGAACUGUGGUCAAGUUAAAGCAUGUAAGAAAGAAUCGACAUUUUGUAACGACAAAUGGGUUUCACCUUAUUGAGCUAUGAUAUAUCGUACCUAUUAAGUUUGUUUCAACUUAUUCAACUAUAUUUCUAUUUUCACUGCCCCGAACUAGAAAUUUGAUGGGAUGAUUGAGUCUUACUAGCCAUCCCUAAUGAACAUGAAAAUGCCCAAAAAAAUUCUUCUCUAAGAACAAAAGGAUAACGGUCAGAUAGUACCACAAUCCGAAUGAAGACAAAACAUCUGAAUCAGAAAACCAGCGAAUCAUCCAAGUAAUCAUCCAUAAACAUACGAAGCAAUUAAUUCCCUAUGAAAUUAAUCAAGCAACGCUUUAUGCGAAUGAACAUACCUAAAAUAAUCUUCAACAAAGAAAUGUGGACUUUGGGAGCAGAAACUGACCUGCACUUGGAGCUGUAGCUGCUUGAGGUACUCGAUGGCUUCAUCAAGCAUCGACGCCUUAUCUGUCUACACCGACGCAUAAAAAUUACAGUAAAUAAAGGACUACCGAAUGAACCGGCAUAAUGACCCAAGUAGCUAGCCCACCAGUAAUCAGAACUCUGUCGAGCCUAAACCAUUGACCCAAAAUCCAUUAGCACAAAUCACCACUAAGACUAGUAACCCUUUUUUUUUUUUACCUUUUUCUAAUCAAAAUCUUUUAUUCAAAUCCGGCCAGAGGAUACAAAAGGAUGCUACUGUUAGUCUGUUUAGCUAACUUAUUGACAAAACUUUGUCCGAAGUGUCAGAAACUUGUAAUUAGGUUGUUGAUGCUGUAGAUAACAAACUUAAUAUCCCAACUAUUAGCAACUUUGUUGGGCCUAAAACCACCGACUUUAAGUAUGACCCACUUCGCUAACACUAAUAACUCACCGCCGGCCCAAAAUACUUAAUCAGGUGAUGCGAGAUUCUACAAAUGGCUCCUACGAGUUCAAGAGGUCCCACCAAACACGUGGUGUAGUACUUUAUCCCGUACAGCACGUAAGAUCAUUCUCAUACACAAUUCUCUUCCCAUCCGAUGCGGGACUAUUAGGGCAUUACAAAAACACACCUUGUUAGAGUUGGGUAUGAGAUUCUGCAAGGCCUUCAUCUUCUCAUUGAUCCGACUCCUCCUCCUCUGCUCCCAAGCGAAUCAACCGUUUUACAAGAAAACCAAAAAUAAAAUCAGUGUAGAUAAAAACACAACCUGCACUGCAGAAUGCAGAGGUGAAAGAUAACCCCAACCAACCUUCUCGGACAAAUUGUGAACCUCGGCAGCUCGGCUUCUCUUGCUCCCCGAACUCCGCGGCUGGAUCCGCCGCACGGGCUCCUCCGCCCCCUCCUGCAGCCCCCCAUAAUCAUUAACUUUACCAGAAAUUUACUAAUCACUACCUCAAAAAAAAAAAAAAAAAAAAAAAAAAAAAAAAAAAAAAAACAAGAAAUGAAUCAAUUCCCACCUCACUCUCGUCGAAAUCAUGGCCGCGGCUGCCCAGCUCGUCCGAGUCGCCGCCCGAGUACGGAUCGAGCGAAGAGAACGGCAUUUUCGCUCACACUCCAACUCCUCCUCAGAGGAUUUAUUUAGAAAGAAAUGAGAGAUCAAGAGAAAGAUGCAGCAGCUUUUCCUGGGAGGAGAAAGAAAAGAAAAUGUGAACUGGGUUUAGGACUCGGAAUCACAAUGCAUUUAUUAUUGUGUAGAGAGAGAGAGUAAUGUUUAUGAGCUAUUAUGGGUUUGUGUGUUGGGUUCGGGUUUCUUGCGUUUCAGGCUUUUUUUUUUUUUUUUUUUUUUUUGGGUUGCUGCUGCUUAUGUCUUUGGUUUUCUUUUCGACAUGUGAAUGCUUAUAAAUAAACAUUUGAAUAUAUUAUUAUAUUAUUGUUUCUGCAAAAGCGCAAAGUACAGAACAAAUAAUGGUCUUAUCUGUGUGACGCGGUUGCUCUGUUUUCUUUUUAGAAAAUUGGGAUUGUAGUGUCAUGCUUUGGGUUGCUCCAAAAGCUUUUGCCACGAAGAAAGUCUACUGUAUUACUGUAUCAUACUUAAAUCAUAUUAAUAAUAAAAGUAAUGCUUCUAUACUUUUUUUUUUUUUUCAUUACCGUUCAUUUACUCCCACUCAACGGUAUAGAUUUAAUAUUCUUAAAAUUGUGACCUGCGCACAAUAGCAGGUCAUUUUAGGAGUGGUACCGCUUACCAGGUACCUCAAAAAAGGGUAUUUUUAUUUUUUAAUAAUGAGAAAUUUAGUCAUUUUAUCUCUAUUAUAUUAUUAAAAUUUUUAUUCUCUCUUUAUUUCUUUUUUCUCUUUCUAUCUUUCCUCUCAUAUUUGGCAUUUCAUAUAAAAAAAUUUUCAAAUUAUUUGACAACAAGAACAUGAGAUUAUUUUGUGAACCAACUAUAGAUUUUUUUUCUAUAUUCAUCUUGAAUCCAACCCGAAUCAUAUAUAAAGUUUAAUAUUAUAUUCGAAUCUAUAUUUUAAAAAUUUAAAUUUAAUAUAAAAUAUUUUGAAAUAUGGUAAAAAGAAAUAAUUGUUUCGUGUUCCAGUCUUUCGGUUUGGAUUUGGUUUUGGGUUUCGAAAAAUUGGUUAGUUUUGGGUUUAGAUAUGGAUUUUUGAAAUCCAUCGAAUUCGGAAAUAGAUUUUGUAAUUGUUAAUCGGGUUCGAAUUCAAAUUUCUAAAUAUUGUUUUUGUCUGAAGUAAUCCUAAUCUUUUUAAUUUUUAUGUUUAAACUAAAUUUGUAAAUUACUAAACUAAAUUCGUAAAUUAAUGCCUAAUUAAUGCCUAAAUUAGGGUAAUCAAUCAAUUUCCUAAAUUAGUGCAAAUUAAUGUAUAAAUUUAGGAUAUUAAUUAAAAGUUUCUUUAAAUGUUGUAUAGUUUAAUUACCNAAAUUUUAAGUAUUUAAUUUUUAAAAUUUAAAUUCAUCGUAUUUAGAAAUAAAACUAUUUCUAAAAUUUCUAUAAUUUAAAUUAAUGCAUAAUUUGAGAAACACUAAAACAUUUAAAGUAGAUUCCUAAAUUAAUGCCUAAUAAUUGCAUAAAUUUGAUUAAUCAAUUAAUUUCCUAAAUUAGUGCAAAUUAAUGCAUAAAUUUAGGACCUCAAUUAAAAGUUUCUUUAAAUAUUGUAUUAUUUAAUUACCAAACUAACCUUAAAUAAAAUAAUUUUUUUACCUGCUAAGUAUUAAAGUUACAUUUUUACCCUCUAUUAAUCAACGGUUAAGAUCUUUUUUAUUUUUUUUUAAAAAAAGUACCGAAUCAUUUCUCUAAUAAUAAUAUAUUAAUUAUAAUAAAAAUAUUUUUAUAAUUAUGAUGUUAUAGAUUAAUCUAAAAAAAUUUAUUUGAUUGGUUGAGAACGUCAAUGUCACCAAUAUAGCUAGUGCAUUUUAAAAUUUUUCUUUGCCAUGAGAGUUUAUACAGUGGUAAAUUUUCAAGGCUGUGUUGUUUUUGUAAGUUGACUAAAACUUUGAUUGGAAUAUAUGAAUAAUUCUUAAUUUUUGUGUAUGAGUAAUUGUCUAUUUUGUUUUAUGUAAAGGAAAUAUGAUCUUAGAUACUGAUCGAUAAAUUUUUAACCAACUGUACUAUGUAUGGUUGGUGUUCCGCAACUGCAGUUAUUUUAAAGAAAAUAUUAUGUGUACAUUUUAUACAGUGAUGUAAAUUUUAUAAUACAUUAAAAGAUGGUUUGAAUUAGCAUCUGAGUGAACAAAUUUAUAACAAAAAAAACAAAAGUUCUACUUAAAAGAAAGCCAGUAAGUGAGAGUGUUGUAUGAGUUGAUUGGAACGAUAUAUUUUAAUUGAUACUUCUUAAUAUUUUAUUUUUUUUAAAUUAUUCUUUGCUGAUAUAUUAAUUUACCCUUUGCAAACUAGUUUGCAUGUAAAAAAUGCCUUUAAUUUUUUUUUGUUAGACUAUAAUAGAAAUCUAAUAAUAUGUUAGUAGGGAAAAUUGCAGUUCCCAAACUCUCAACAAGAUUUUUAAUUUGUUGGUCAUCAAAUUUUCAAUUUAAUGUUAGAGACCUAAACCUCUUUAAAAAAACUUUUUUAAAUUCCUAAAACCAUUAAGGUCGAACUAACCCAGUGCUACGCAUUUAUCAAUUAUUUAUUUUAUUACACACUUCAAUCAUUGUAUUUACUAAGUAACUAUGUUUUAUUACUAGAUACAAACAAUAAUUUUCUCUAAAAUAGAUAUUAAAAUACAAAUAUUUUAACCAAAUUUAAGUUAAAAAAUUAUAGUAAAUUAAAUUUAAUUGUGAAAUAGCAUGCCUUGUUGCCAGAUAUAUAUAAGGAUUAAAAAUGUAAGGGAAAACUUCAAAAACCUCUCCUGUGGUUUCGCACUUUCUCACUUUAGUAUCCUUUGGUUUAAAGUGUAUCAAUUUGCCCUCCUAUGGUUUCGUUUUUCUCUUUUUAGUAUCAAUUUUAUUAUUUUUUUCUCUUAAAAUCAGUGAUAAAGUUAAAAUUAAAGGUUACUAAAGUAAAUAUUCGAAAAAUCUAGGUGGGUAUCUGAAGUUUUUUGUAUAUAAUUUAACGAAAUAUUAAGAAAAAAAGCUGUCGAAAAGAUAAAUAAAACCACAGGGAGGCAAAUUGAUACACUUUAAACCACAGGAUACUAAAGUGAGAAAGUACAAAAUCGCAGGGGAGGGAUUUUUGAAGUUUUCCCAAAAUGUAAUUUAGCCGAGUAACUUUCCAAGAAACUUUUAUAGGGACCAAUGGUAAAAGUUUCUUUUCAUUUUUGGGUUGUCAAAUUUUUUUUUUGGGUUCAUUGCAUACAGGUCCCGUAAACAUAGUAAAUUAUAAAUAUAUUUCUACAAAAUUCAACUUUUAUAUAUUGUUUCUGUAAAAAUUUUAAUAUUUUCAAAUAUGUCCCUCUGUUUUGUUGCUGUUAUAGAACUAUUUAUAUUUUAAGUAAAAUAUCAAUUUUGCCAUUACAAAUAUGUCCUUUCAAAAGCCACAGCAGUAUAAUAUAAGAUGGACAAAAAUAUCAAGUUAUCUCAUGAACUAUUCAGGAUUAAGUAUUUAAUAUAGGAUUAACUAAAGUUUUCUAACGGAUUCUAACGGUAUGAACAUAUUUAAAAAUAUUAGGACUUUUACGAUGACAAUAUAUAAAAUUUGAACCAUAUAAAGAUAUAUUUGUAACUCACUAUAUUUAUAGAGAUAUGUAUAAAAUUAAUCUUUUUUUUUCCCUUUCUUUCUUUUUUUUUUUGGGAAAACUUCAAAAACCCCCUCUGUGGUUCCACACUUUUUUAUUUUAGUACCCUGUGGUUUAAAGUGUAUCAAGUUAGUACCCUGUGGUUUCUCACUUUAUCACUUUAGUACCCUAUGGUUUAAAGUGUAUCAAGUUAGUACCCUGUGGUUUCUCACUUUAUCACUUUAGUACCCUGUGGUUUAAAGUGUAUCAAGUUAGUACCCUGUGGUUUUGCACUUUAUCACUUUAGUACCCUGUGGUUUCACACUUUAUCACUUUAGUACCCUAUAGUUUAAAAAAUCACAGGGUACUAAUUUGAUACAAAAUCAAAACCACAGGGUACUAAAGUGAUAAAAUGCAAAACCACAGGGUACUAACUUGAUACACUUUAAACCACAGGGUACUAAAGUGAUAAAGUGAGAAACCAUAAUGUACUAACUUGAUACAUUUUAAAUUAUAGAGUACUAAAGUGAAAAAAAUUGAGACAAUGGGGUUUUUCAAGUUUUCCCUUUUUUUUUUUUAUUUAACUGGUUGCUUGUAUUUUGAGGUGAGUGGAGUUUUGUCAGUCAGGCGGUGUUGUUCUCGGGAAGCGUGCGAGUGAGGAGGAUGGAUGGCUUUAAUGAUUUUAAUAAAUGAGGCUGGGAGGUCGGGGCAGGACAGAGAGAGAAAAAGGAGGGAGAUUCGGUUUCAGUUGCAACGGAACAUUGACGCGAGAGGAGAAAGUCACUGCCUAGUGCCUACACCCGGUGCACCAUUAUUAAAAAGCUGUUUUGUUGCAUGUACGUAGUUACAACUGCAGUACAGUUGUAACUGCUUGCAAUUCCAAAUUCAGUGUUUGAUUUGGUGCGUUUGAGUCUAACCACUGCAGUUGGAGCUGCAUGCGAUUGCAACAGUUAGAACUAUGCUCAAAUUGACCGCAGUUGCAACUGCAGCAGUUCUAGAGAAUAACUUUAAAUAAAAAGUAAACUUACCUCCCGAAUAUUUUUUAAACAAAAAAUAAAUAUUUUUCUUUACAUUGGAGUUAGUAUCAUUGUCACAAAUAUAAAGUGAUAAAAUUUUUCUCAUGCACUUCUCAGCUACGUGUAACCAAACAAAUAAUUUAUAGUUGCAGCAUAUUGUACUACAUCCAACUAAAUGAAAUAUACAUAGUUGUAAUUAUUGUAUCUCCAAUUGUAUACAUUUUCAACUAAUUGUAUUUCUAAUUGCAUCCAAUCAAACGACCCUUAUGUUUGAUGAUCAAUUUUUGUCUAAAGUUUGGCUUUAGUUUAAGAUUAAAGUUUAUGUCUUUUUUUUUUUAAUAAAGGAAAGGUAGCAUGUUACCACUUCGUUAAUUUUUUUAGAAAUAAAUUUAGUUUAAAAUAUGAAACAACUAAAUGUCAGAUUCGGGAUCUCCUGAAUGAAUCAUCAUUAAGUCCUUCGUCACUUGCGGUAGGGACAAAAAAUAAAAAAAAAAUGAUAUUCAUGUUGACAUUAAAAAGGAAAAGACUAAAUUACACUUUUGGUCCUCAAACUGUAAGGCGGAUGACACUUUGAUCCCCAAGAUUUUAAUUAUUGUGUUUUCUCAAUUGAAUUUUUUGAAUUAAUGUAACCAAGUCACCCUAGCUGAUGGAAUCAUAAUUUAUCACUGAUAUAAUAGUGAUAUAACAUUUACUCAAAACUAUAUCAUCAAUACAUCAUCAUUCUAUCAUUCAAAUUAUAAUGUGAUACUUGAUUGCAGUACUCUAAAAUAUUUCGAGUCAAAAAUUACAAAAAAAAAAAAAAAUCAAACUUUCAGAAGUAUUCUGAAAAAUAUUAUCACGUGCCACAU
rnacentral:lncRNA from 1 species